rnacentral:rRNA from 1 species
GGAUAACCCGAGGAAACUCGGGCUAAUACCGCGUAGUAUCUCUUUUCAUAGAAAAGUUGAAGAAAGCGGGGGAUCCUUGAGUUUUUUUAAGGACCUCGCACUAAAAGAUGAGCCUGCGUCGGAUUAGUUAGUUGGUGGGGUAAUAGCCCACCAAGACGAUGAUCCGUAGCUGGUCUGAGAGGAUGAUCAGCCACACUGGGACUGAGACACGGCCCAGACUCCUAUGGGAGGCAGCAGUGGGGAAUAUUGGACAAUGGGGGAAACCCUGAUCCAGCAAUGCCGCGUGUGUGAAGAAGGCCUUCGGGUUGUAAAGCACUUUCAGCAGGAAAGAAAGUCUUAAAGUUAAUACCUUUAAUGAGUUGACGUUACCUGCAGAAGAAGCACUGGCUAACUCUGUGCCAGCAGCCGCGGUAAUACAGAGAGUGCAAGCGUUAAUCGGAAUUACUGGGCGUAAAGCGCGCGUAGGUGGAUAUUAAAGUCGGGUGUGAAAGCCCCGAGCUUAGAGUAUAGUAGAGGGAAGUGGAAUUUCCGGUGUAGCGGUGAAAUGCGUAGAUAUCGGAAGGAACACCAGUGGCGAAGGCGGCUUCCUGGACUAAUACUGACACUGAGGUGCGAAAGCGUAGGGAGCAAACAGGAUUAGAGACCCUGGUAGUCCACGCUGUCAACGAUGAGAACUAGCUGUUAGAAAACUUGUUUUCUGGUAGCGAAGCUAACGCGUUAAGUUCUCCGCCUGGGGAGUACGACCGCAAGGUUAAAACUCAAAGAAAUUGACGGGGGCCCGCACAAGCGGUGGAGCAUGUGGUUUAAUUCGAUGCAACACGAAAAACCUUACCUACCCUUGACAUCCUCGGAACUUGUCAGAGAUGACUUGGUGCCUUCGGGAACCGAGUGACAGGUGCUGCAUGGCUGUCGUCAGCUCGUGUCGUGAGAUGUUGGGUUAAGUCCCGUAACGAGCGCAACCCUUGUCCUUAGUUGCCAGCGGUUCGGCCGGGAACUCUAAGGAGACUGCCGGUGAUAAACCGGAGGAAGGUGAGGAUGAUGUCAAGUCAUCAUGGCCCUUAUGGGUAGGGCUACACACGUGCUACAAUGGGCAGUACAGAGGGUUGCCAAAUCGUGAGGUGGAGCUAAUCCCAGAAAGCUGCUCGUAGUCCGGAUUGGAGUCUGCAACUCGACUCUAUGAAGCUGGAAUCGCUAGUAAUCGCGAAUCAGAAUGUCGCGGUGAAUACGUUCUCGGGCCUUGUACACACCGCCCGUCACACCAUGGGAGUG